GACGAACGCUGGCGGCGUGCUUAACACAUGCAAGUCGAGCGGUAAGGCCCUUUUCGGGGGUACACGAGCGGCGAACGGGUGAGUAACACGUGGGUGACCUGCCCUCAGCUCUGGGAUAAGCCUGGGAAACCGGGUCUAAUACUGGAUAUGACUCCAUGACGCAUGUUGUGGGGUGGAAAGCCUUGUGCGGCUGAGGAUGGGGCCCGCGGCCCUAUCAGCUUGUUGGUGGGGUGANGGCCUACCAAGGCGACGACGGGUAGCCGGCCUGAGAGGCGACCGGCCACACUGGGACUGAGACACGGCCCAGACUCCUAC
rnacentral:rRNA from 1 species